rnacentral:rRNA from 1 species
UACAGAGGGUGCGAGCGUUGUCCGGAAUCACUGGACGUAAAGGGCGCGUAGGUGGCCCGACAAGUCUGUGGUGAAAGCUCGACGCUCAACGUCGAGUCGGCCAUAGAUACUGUUGGGCUGGAGCACUGUAGAGGCUCAUGGAAUUCCGGGUGUAGCGGUGGAAUGCGUAGAGAUCCGGAAGAACACCGGUGGCGAAGGCGGUGAGCUGGGCAGUAGCUGACACUGAGGCGCGACAGCGUGGGGAGCAAACAGG